rnacentral:lncRNA from 1 species
AAAGAGAAGUAAUCAAGCAUGCUUCAAAUCAGGAGUCUAGUUCUUACUGCACAAGACUCCAAAUAGAGUCAACCUCAGGAAGAGGUUUAUGGCUAUGGAGUAGCCAAGCAGGUCCCAGACACAUGCUAGUAGUGUACAAGAGUGAGGAAAACAUACAUUGGGAUCGGAAAGGAGGUAGUGAACAUGCCCAGUCAUGCUAGACAUUCUAAUUAUCAUAAGUACAUACUAAUGGCAAGAACAAUAGAACCAUAAGUAGAAGCACACAAGAAACAAGAAGAAGUGCAACACUAAUAGAAACAUGUUGUUUUGGAGGCUGUAACUUAAAUAGAAAAUAUACCAUAACACAAAGCAGUAGUGAACAAUAGGACAUAGAGAAGUGAGCAGUAGUAUACAAAGAGGUGUGCAACAAGCAGACCAAAGCAAGUAACACAGUAGAAACCAAUAGUGAAGUAAGGUAGCCAAAAUUACUUAAUCUUGGCCUUCACCAGAUUGAGAAGCCAAUAUUCAAU